rnacentral:rRNA from 1 species
UAGGGAAUAUUGCAAAAUGGGCGAAAGCCUGAUGCAGCAACGCCGCGUGCGCGAUGAAGGCCUUCGGGUCGUAAAGCGCUUUUUGUAGGGGAUGAGGAAGGACAGUACCCUCAGAAUAAGUCUCGGCUAACUACGUGCCAGCAGCCGCGGUAAAACGUAGGAGGCAAGCGUUAUCCGGAUUUACUGGGCGUAAAGCGCGUGCAGGCGGAUCGGCAAGUUGGAUGUGAAAGCUCCCGGCUCAACUGGGAGAGGUCGUUCAAAACUGCCGGACUUGAGUGUGGUAGAGGGAGGCGGAAUUCCGGGUGUAGUGGUGAAAUGCGUAGAUAUCCGGAGGAACACCAGUGGCGAAAGCGGCCUCCUGGACCACAACUGACGCUCAGACGCGAAAGCUAGGGGAGUAAACGGGAUUAGAGACCCCGGUAAUCCUAGCCGUAAACGAUGUAGACUUGGCGUCGGCGGGUUCAAAUCCGUCGGUGCCGCAGCAAACGCGAUAAGUCUACCGCCUGGGGACUACGG